GGUUUCCCUAUGUGGCCCUGGCUGUCCUGGAACUCACUCUGUAGACCAGCCCCCAAACUCAGAGGGCUGUCUGCCUCUGCCUCCCAAGCGCUGGGAUCAAAGCCCUAUCCCUGCUCCCCUCCCAGUCCUCCCCUCCCUUUCUCCUCCCCCCCACCCCGUCCCCUAUUCCUCAGAAAAGGGGAGCUCCCUUUCCCAUCCAGCCCAGCUCAUCAAGUUGCAUCGGGACUGAGCAUGUCCUCUUCCCCUGUGGCCUAGCAAGGCAGUCCUGCCAGGGGAAAGUGACCAGAAAGCUGGCAAUUGAGUCUGUGCCGGAUGCAGUCCCCACUUCCCUGGAGCUGGCGUGGGACUCGGCGAGAUCUGCCUGCCCUUGCCUCAUGAAUGCUGGCAUCGAAGGCAUGGGCUGCCAUGUUCAGCCCAAAUAUCAACUUUUGUUUGUUUGUUUGUUUGUUUAAAUUACACUUAGUGUUUGUGUGCACACAUGUGAAUUCAUACACCGCAGUGCACCUGUGGGGUCAGAGGACAACUUGUGGGAACCCAUUCUCACCCUCUAUAAUGCAGGCCUUGGUGUCACCGGGCUUGGCAGGGGGUGCCAUCACUCUUCCUGCCGCCUCCCCACUGUAUAUCAAUUUAAUGAGGGUGAAUUACAGGCAAAUAAAUAACUUCUAAGAAAGA